rnacentral:rRNA from 1 species
CACGUAGGGUGCGAGCGUUGUCCGGAAUUAUUGGGCGUAAAGAGCUCGUAGGCGGUUUGUCGCGUCUGCUGUGAAAACUCGGGGCUUAACUCCGGGCCUGCAGUGGGUACGGGCAGACUAGAGUGCGGUAGGGGAGACUGGAAUUCCUGGUGUAGCGGUGAAAUGCGCAGAUAUCAGGAGGAACACCGGUGGCGAAGGCGAUCAUCUGGGGCUGUUCUGACGCUGAGGAGCGAAAGCUAGGGGAGCAAACGGG